rnacentral:rRNA from 1 species
UACGUAGGGUGCAGGCGUUAAUCGGAAUUACUGGGCGUAAAGCGUGCGCAGGCGGUUUGCUAAGAGAGAUGUGAAAUCCCCGGGCUUAACCUGGGAACUGCGUUUCUAACUGGCAGGCUUGAGUGUGGCAGAGGGGGUGGAAUUCCGACGUGUAGCAGUGAAAUGCGUAGAGAUGUGGAGGAACACCGAUGGCGAAGGCAGCCCCCUGGGCUAACACUGACGCUCAUGCACGAAAGCGUGGGAGCGAAACAGG